AAUCUAACCCUGGUCAACACUGGCUGACAGAUCAACUAUGGUUGACGUCUACAGAUGAGAAGGGUUAGUUAGUGACAAUCAGUGUGUAACGCGGUCGGGCACGCGAGUGGUGGCGGCAAUAAAUAUGAUUAUUAGCCGCCAGUGAUUUGUUUUAUUUUUAAUCCGGGGUAUUUACCUGGCUUGGUGACUACAUUGGCGACGAGGAGAAAACAUAUUUUGUUUCAUUAGCAACAGGUCACAGGAGGAGGAGGUUUUGCCAGCACACGUAGUUCGUUCGGAGAGGUCUUACUGCGUUAGGCCGAAUUCCGCGUGAACAACACACAGAGGAGAAGGAUGAACCACGAGCUAGUGCAGCUCAACGGCAAACCGGGUUUUAAGAGAGUCACCUGGGCUUACCGGAUCCUUUGGGUCGUGCGCAUGGCAAGAGAGCCAGGCGGGCGGGGUGCCGACCUGGACGGAGUGUGUGCGGCCGGAGCCGAGUUGGCUGGUGGCUCACCUGGAGACUGCUGAUGAACUAAGGGAUGUCCUUAAGAUUUGAAGGAGGAUGGUUGCAAGAUAGGGUUCUGUUUGGGGGUGCGAAGUUGUCUUCGUAUUCCAGAAUUGUCAGGUUGACGGACCCAAUUCCGUUAUAAUUUGAUUGUACAAAUAGUUAGGUGUUGUGCUAAGUAAUUUUGGAGACGCUGCUUUAUGAGGUUGAUUAAAUGCUGGGGAAUGUGUGAAGGAGUAUUGAUGCAGGGGGCUCUGAUUGAUAGGCACCGUGAAAUUGUUAAUAAUCGGUAACUCCAUAAGACAAUGAAUGAGAAAUAAUUUAUAUUCAAUUCAUGUUUAUUAGUUGCACUUAUCAUGAUACAUUUUGCCUAACAUAUUACAAAAUGCAGAGUUUUGGAGAUACUUACAGGUACAAAAUAAUUCAGAUACAAUCAUUGGACGAAAUAAGUUCAGUAAUUUCAAUCAAUUAAGCGAGAGCAGAUAAAACUGUUUAAAACAACUGUUACUUUUGCUAGGGGAGAAGAAAAAGGAUAGGAAAGCUUAAGUUUAUAUCACAGAAAAUUUGUCAGUUAGUUAAUGAAGGCUAAGACUUUAACUGCAGGGCAUAGGUACUUUCCCAUCAGCUCUUGCAGCGCAAAGAACUGCUCCAGCUUGUUUCGGCAAAUAAUUUAUUUGAGCGAUUGUUAUUGUUUUAAGAUAUAGAAUUGUGAAACGAUAGUUGAGGAUUAUCUUUAUUCAUUCAAAUCUACCGGACUCAAAACAAAGGGAACAAAAAAAAACAAGUAAUUUUUAAGAAAGAGGCUGAAACAAGUGUCUUAUAAAAUCUAAUAUUAUUUGCAUUGGAAUCUAUAAAAAAAUACUAUCUGAAAAUGCUGCCUACAAGAUUUUAGACUCAUUAAUUUAUUGAGUAAAUUUGCUCAAAUUAUAGGAAAAUAGGGAAACGCUUAGCAUUCUAUUAACUUUAAAUUAAAUUGUUUUAAGUAAAGGAGGAGGUAGUACUGGAUCGAUUGGAUAGCGGUUAACUGUAGUGAAUUAUGGAUUUACAAUUACAAGAUUAAUAAAUGUGAUGGAGCAACAAUUAAAUUAAACAGCUAAGAAAGGAGAGUGAAAGGACAAAACUUCAUUGAGUGAAAUGGCUUAGUUCAAAGUUCAAAGGACGUGACAAGAGAUUAUACUGUAAACAUAAAUGCUCGUUUGACUCAGCAAAAGAUAUAAGAUUAUAAUACUAUUGUUAUCAACAAAUACUAGAUUAAAAAAUAAAUCCACUCGUGUGUUCAGAUCAGGGCAAUUAUGAGGACAAUCUAGUUUGCUAAACUGUUGAAUUAUCAAUUGUGAAGUAUCUAUCAUUUUCAAGGAAGAGAGGGAUGUAGGAAUCUAACCCUGGUCAACACUGGCUGACAGAUCAACUAUGGUUGACGUCUACAGAUGAGAAGGGUUAGUUAGUGACAAUCAGUGUGUAACGCGGUCGGGCACGCGAGUGGUGGCGGCAAUAAAUAUGAUUAUUAGCCGCCA
rnacentral:lncRNA from 1 species